rnacentral:lncRNA from 1 species
CACAAGGAAGUCACCUGAACUUGGCUCCCCCUUCACUGACAGAGCUGAAGUGGCUGAGGGAAUCGCAGCUCCUAAACCUCAGAGCAAUCAUGUGCUUGCUUGCAAGAAAAGUUUUGAAGCUGAAAGACCCUGUAGUCAGACCUGGAAACAGAAAAGCUAGCAUUUCUUCACUCCAUAGCAUGUCUCUGAGAACCACAGGUACCAUGAAGUGCCUUGAAACCAGACAGCAGCUAAAAGCAGGCUCCCAAAGUUAGGACACUUUUCCUAAGGCCAGGGAGGAGGCUGUGUGUACGCCCUGCCUCUGAGUGUAGUCUCAGGCAAGGCACUGUGCUCCUUUCCUGAGGUUGCCUGUACCUCAAACCUCCUAAAAGUAACCUUUCCUGGUCUUGCUUUAACUCUCCAAGAACCUGAAUUCCUCUGCAAGCCCAGCACAUACCAGUCUCCACAUUCGGCUGGCCAAGUAGACCCUCUGGAGCUGCAGCCUGGGCACUUAAAUUGCUCCUCCUGUAUUUCAAAUGGCUCUUGCAAACCUCCUGUAACCUGAGCAGACAAAAUCGGUGCUGGCUCUGGAAAGUAGUUAUGCAAUAUGCAAGAGGUAAAACCCUCCUGGCAGGGGCACGUGAAAGGAGAUACAAGUGGGAGGCUCCAGUUGCUGAGGUGAACACCAUGUCCCACGAGAAGACUGGGAGAGAGGAGAUAUACGUGUCAUAGAGCCAUAGAAUGGUUUGGAUUGGAAGGGACCUUAAAGAUCAUCCAAUUCCAACCCUCACUCCAGUGACUGUCUCCCUCCUUGAUGCUGUUCUCCCAGACCAUCUCUGCCGGGAAGGGUGAACGGAUCUGGGCAACAAGAUGAAGACACUGCUGAAAAAAGCAGCAGUCUGAAUCUGAAAAGCCAAUUGACAGGAAGCCUGUGCAGACACUGUUCACCAUUGUGAACAUGCUUCAAGUAUCACCUUUUUGCACUCAAAGCUGUCAAGUCAGCCACAUGUUCACUGAAUUGUAUCUUGUCAUCCCUCUCCCAACGCUACCCUGGAGCAUGCAAACACUGGAGGCUCCUGAGGCAGAGCUGGGAAGGUGCUGGGCUCUCCCACAGGGUGCAGCCCACCACCUGUUGCCCUGGUGAAGUCUGAGGCUGCUCCCACCCCUGCUGCUACAGGGACAGCUGCUCCAACCUGUAAAGGCAGGAUUUUGCCCACAGCAUGUUUUUCUCCAGCCAUGCAAAUUAAUUUGGAAUUAACCAAGAAGUGGGAUCUAACCAGUGCUCUGCACCACCUACCUGUGCUGGAGUUGCUGGUAUUCCUGUUCUCUUUUUCUCCCUGCUGAAAGCCUGCAAGUCGCCAGCUCCAUGGAGGUGCCCUCCCACCCUCAGCCAGAAAGACCUGACUUCCAACACUUCCAGUUCAACUGUGAACAAAUGUCCACCAGUUUCUUGC